CCAGCAGCCGCGGUAAUUCCAGCUCCAAUAGCGUAUAUUAAAGUUGUUGCAGUUAAAAAGCUCGUAGUUGAACUUUGGGCCCGGUUGGCCGGUCCGAUUUUUUCGUGUACUGGAUUUCCAACGGGGCCUUUCCUUCUGGCUAACCUUGAGUCCUUGUGGCUCUUGGCGAACCAGGACUUUUACUUUGAAAAAAUUAGAGUGUUCAAAGCAGGCGUAUUGCUCGAAUAUAUUAGCAUGGAAUAAUAGAAUAGGACGUUUGGUUCUAUUUUGUUGGUUUCUAGGACCAUCGUAAUGAUUAAUAGGGACGGUCGGGGGCAUCAGUAUUCAAUUGUCAGAGGUGAAAUUCUUGGAUUUAUUGAAGACUAACUACU
rnacentral:rRNA from 1 species